CUCAAGUGCAUUCGCAAGUGGAGCAGUGCUAAGCAAUUUCAGAGCAAGAUUAUAAAGUCCUGCCUAGAUUGCCAGAUCACAUCUAACUUUGUCAUUCCAAGUGAGUCCUGGGUGGAGAAAGAAGAGAAGCAGAAACUCAUUCAGAAAUACAAGGAGGCAUUGAGCAACAAGGCUUGCAGGUAUUUUGAUGAAGGACGUGGGAGCUGCCCAUUUGGAAGGAAUUGUUUUUACAAGCAUGCGUACCCUGAUGGCCUUACAGAGAAGCCACAGAGACAGAAAGUGGGAACAUCAAGCAGAAACUGGGUCCAAUGAAGGAACCACUUCUGAGAACUCACUGAGGAAAGAGAUAGCAGCAACCCUUUUGACAAUGAUGAAGAGGUUGUCACCUCUUGAGGUGGGCGAGAUGUUGCUUAUGCUUUUGGCUGCAGGUGGGGAUGAUGAACUGGCAGACUCUGAAGAUGAGUGGGACUUGUUUCAUGAUGAGCUGGAAGAUUUUUAUGAUUUGGAUCUAUAGCAACCUUGUGUGGCGUGUGAACUGGUCUGCUGACCCCAGACAGCAGCUGUCCCCUGUGCUGGUGUGGCAGUGCCUGUGUUCUCUCCUAGGUAGGCCUAUCAACUCCAGGUGUUGUAAAAAUUUUUACCCAGGGCCUGUCUUCUCAACCCUUCACCUUUCCCCGAGGAGUGUGUUAUUUUCCCUGUUGAAAACAGUUAAAACUUAAAGUUAGUUUUUUGUAACACAA
rnacentral:lncRNA from 1 species